GAAUGUUUGUCUGUCUGUCUGUCUGUCUGUCUGUAAGUUCAUUCAGAGAAACUCAAUAUCCAUUCUGUAUACAUUGAACUUUGUCUCCUAGCAAUUCUAUUUUCUAUAGUGUCACUUUUGCAUACAGAAUAGCUGCAGAGCUACCGAUAACUUCAGCAAGGAUUUAAUAGCAACAUGGCCGAGUGUCUCUAGAGAUGCAGCAGAAAUACAGUUAUCUAAAUAGCAAAUGCUUACGAAGAGACUUCUAAGUGCCGAGGACUGUGGAAGAAUGGUCUUUAGAUUCCAGGGACCCACAAAUGUGUUGAUAAGGUUUAAAGUGAUGACCAGGAUGUGGAGCUAAUCGUGGGAAGACAGGGGAAGUGUUUCCUGGAGGAAGGAAGUCAAAGCUCGGAGGCAGAAACGAGUGGGACAUGGUCAAGGGAGAUAAAGCAGGCCAUUAUACCUGAGACGCGGAGAGUGAGGGAGGCAGUGACGGCAAGUGGAGGGAUGAGAGGCAGGCGGCGAUCAGAUCUGCAGACAAGUUAGGAAAUUUCCUCUAGGAGCAAUACAAAGCCAUGGGAGGUUUAAGCAGUGGGGCGACAUGAUUAGAGUCACAAUUCAUUCUUACCUUUGGAUCUUUCGACGGGAGCAAGAAUGGAAGCCUGGAACCAGUGGGGGAACUAUUUC
rnacentral:lncRNA from 1 species